UUACGGCUCAGUAACACGUAGCUAAUCUACCCUUAGACCCAUGAUAACUUCGCGAAAGUGAGGAUAAGAAUGGAUAGGCGAUGGCUUCUGGAAUGAGCCAUAGCUGAAACGCAAGGCCUAAGGACGAGGCUGCGGCUGAUUAGGUAGUUGUUGGUGUAAAAGACCAACAAGCCGAUGAUCAGUAAGGGCUCUUAACGGAGGAGCCCUGAGAAGGACUCUGAGACACUAGUCCUAGCUCUAUGGAGUGCAGCAGUUAGGAAAAUUUUCCAAUGUCCGCAAGGAUGAGAAAGGAAUCCAAAGUGUUUUCCAUUUUUGGAAAACUUUUGUCCUGUAUAAAAAGCAGAAUGAAUAAGGACUGGGCAAGACCGGUGCCAGCCGCCGCGGUAAUCCCGGCAGUUCAAGUGGUAACCGCUUUUAUUAAGUUUAAAGCGUUCGUAGCUCGCUUAGAAAGUUUCCUGUGAAAUGUUGUCGCUUAACGGCAACGCGUGCAGGAAAUACUGCUAAGCUUGGGACUGGAAGACGCAACGAGUACAGUUAGGGUAGCGGUAAAAUGUUUUAAUCUUAGCUGGACUAACAAUUGGCGAAGGCACGUUGCGAGGACAGAUCUGACGGUGAGGAACGAAGGCCAAGGGCGCAAAGGGGAUUAGAUACCCCCGUAGUCUUGGCUGUAAACACUGCUUACUAAACAUUGUUUUCUCCUCGAGAGAAAGCAGUGCUGUAGAGAAAUCGCUAAGUAAGCUACUUGGGAAGUAUAGCCGCAAGGCCGAAACUUAAAGGAAUUGGCGGGGGAGCAC
rnacentral:rRNA from 1 species